rnacentral:rRNA from 1 species
CCAGCCUGCCCAGUGACCACAAGUUCAACGGCCGCGGUAUUUUGACCGUGCAAAGGUAGCGCAAUCACUUGUCUUUUAAAUGAAGACCUGUAUGAAUGGCUAAACGAGGGCUUAACUGUCUCCCAUCUCAAGUCAGUGAAAUUGAUCUGCCCGUGCAGAAGCGGACAUAAAUAUACAAGACGAGAAGACCCUUUGGAGCUUAAGGUACAAAUCCAACCGCGUCAAACAGCUUAUCUAAAUAAGCUCUAAACCUAGCGAAAAUGGAAUUUUACCUUCGGUUGGGGCGACCACGGAGAAAAAAUCAUCCUCCGAGUGGACUGGGUUAAUUAAUCCUAAAACCAAGAAAAACAUUUCUAAGUCACAGAACGUCUGACCAAUAAUGAUCCGGCCAUAGGCCGAUCAACGGACCAAGUUACCCUAGGGAUAACAGCGCAAUCCUCUCCCAGAGUCCAUAUCGACGAGGGGGUUUACGACCUCGCUGUUGGAUCAGGACAUCCUAAUGGUGCAGCCGCUAUUAAGGGUUCGUUUGUUCAACGAUUAAAGUCCUACGUGAUCUGAG